UACGUAGGGACCGAGCGUUGUCCGGAAUCACUGGGCGUAAAGGGCGCGUAGGCGGCGUUUUAAGUCGGGGGUGAAAGCCUGUGGCUCAACCACAGAAUGGCCUUCGAUACUGGGACGCUUGAGUAUGGUAGAGGUUGGUGGAACUGCGAGUGUAGAGGUGAAAUUCGUAGAUAUUCGCAAGAACACCGGUGGCGAAGGCGGCCAACUGGACCAUUACUGACGCUGAGGCGCGAAAGCGUGGGGAGCAAACAGG
rnacentral:rRNA from 1 species